CUAGUACUCCCUCCAUCCCAAAAUUCUUGUCUUAGAUUUGUCUAGAUACGGAUGUAUGACUAAAUAAAUUUGUAUCUAGAAAAAUCCAAGACAAGAAUUUUGGGACGGAGGGAGUACAUU
rfam:Triticum aestivum genome assembly, contig: Triticum_aestivum_CS42_TGACv1_scaffold_556112_7AL